AAUAUUGGACAAUGGGGGCAACCCUGAUCCAGCCAUGCCGCGUGAGUGAUGAAUGCCUAAGGGUAAAAAAGCUCGUUCAGUGGGGAAGAUAAUGACGGUACCCACACAAGAAGCCCCGGCUAACUGCGUGCCAGCAGCCGCGGUAAUACGAAGGGGGCUAGCGUUGUUCGGAUUUACUGGGCGUAAAGCGCACGUAGGCGGAUUGGUCAGUGAGGGGUGAAAGCCCGGAGCUCAACUCCGGAACUGCCAUUAAUACUGCAAGUCUAGAGUCCGAGAGAGGUGAGUGGAACUCCUAGUGUAGAGGUGGAAUUCGUAGAUAUUAGGAAGAACACCAGUGGCGAAGGCGGCUCACUGGCUCGGUACUGACGCUGAGGUGCGAAAGCGUGGAGAGCAAAC
rnacentral:rRNA from 1 species